GGUGCAAGCGUUAUCCGGAUUUACUGGGUGUAAAGGGAGCGUAGACGGACCGGAAAGUCAGCGGUAAAAGCCCGGGGCUCAACCCCGGCGAGCCGUUGAAACUGCCGGACUAGAGACGGCGAGAAGUACGCGGAAUGCGCGGUGUAGCGGUGAAAUGCAUAGAUAUCGCGCAGAACUCCGAUUGCGAAGGCAGCGUACCGGCGCCGGACUGACGCUGAGGCACGAAAGCGUGGGUAUC
rnacentral:rRNA from 1 species